UAGGGGUGACGACGGUAGAAAUCGCGGGGAUCAACAUGAUAAUCAUUGGUUGGAUAUCUUAGAUAAAUGAAGGAUUGACGGGGCGCUAAAUUUUUAGGUUACUUAGUCCACAGAAAAGAGGAUAUUGACUUUGGCGCAUCGACGAGUGAAGAUUUAAUGGCCGUCUGUCCCAUGGAUUCGGAGCGCAGCGUUGUAAACAAGUUUUGUUAGCUAUUUAGUUGGUAUCACUCUCGUUUAGUAUAUCCCUUGAAUUUAUAUGUUGCCGUGGAUCGGUCGGUUGGUGUAGUGUGUCCUAGGUUGAAUUUCAAGAGGUGGCAAGGGCCUCGGUUUUCAAGAUAUGGAUGAAAUCCAGGGAUCUGCUGUCGAUGUAGACUCUUCAGCUGUGCCUGGGUAGAUUCUUAGACAUAUAUGUUGUUGAGGAGCUGGGUUUGCUCAUAAAUUGUUUGUUUUUAAGACGGCGGCGGGCCCAGCCAUGCUAGCGGCGGC